rnacentral:ncRNA from 1 species
GCAGAGUAGGGACAGCACGUUAAGUGCCGCCGGAUGGGACGUUGCCGCCGGACGAAGGAGCAUCCACUCCGCGUUGCUGUGCCCGCAUCCACUGC